UACAGAGGGGGCAAGCGUUAUUCGGAAUUAUUGGGCGUAAAGGGCGCGUAGGCGGCUAUUCAAGUGGCGGGUGAAAUCCCUCGGCUUAACCGAGGAACUGCCUGCCAGACUGGAUGGCUUGAGACCGGGAGAGGUGAGUGGAAUUCCCAGUGUAGCGGUGAAAUGCGUAGAUAUUGGGAGGAACACCAGUGGCGAAGGCGGCUCACUGGCCCGGUACCGACGCUGAGGUGCGAAAGCGUGGGGAGCAAACAGG
rnacentral:rRNA from 1 species